ensembl:lncRNA
CAAGGCAGGCAGGCAGGAGCUGCGACUCCAGUCAGGCAGCCAAGGCAGGCAGGCAGGGACAUGACUCCAGCCAGUCGGACAAGACAGGCAGGAAGGGGCUGUGUCUACAGCCAUCCAGCCUAGGCAGGCUAGGCGUGGAUCAUGAUUCCCACCAGCCAGUCAGCCAAGGCAGGCAGGCAGGGGCCACGACUCCAACCGGUCAGCCAAGGCAGGCAGGCAGGCCAAGGCCAUGACUCCAACCAGCCAGCUGAGGCAGACAGGCCGGGGCCAUGACUCCAGCCAGCCAGCUAAGGCACUCAGGCAGGAGCUGCAACUCCAGUCAGCCA